AUUGAACGCUGGCGGCAUGCUUUACACAUGCAAGUCGGACGGCAGCACAGAGAAGCUUGCUUCUUGGGUGGCGAGUGGCGAACGGGUGAGUAACAUAUCGGAACGUACCGAGUAGUGGGGGAUAACUGAUCGAAAGAUCAGCUAAUACCGCAUACGUCUUGAGAGGGAAAGCAGGGGACCUUCGGGCCUUGCGCUAUUCGAGCGGCCGAUAUCUGAUUAGCUAGUUGGUGGGGUAAAGGCCUACCAAGGCGACGAUCAGUAGCGGGUCUGAGAGGAUGAUCCGCCACACUGGGACUGAGACACGGCCCAGACUCCUACGGGAGGCAGCAGUGGGGAAUUUUGGACAAUGGGCGCAAGCCUGAUCCAGCCAUGCCGCGUGUCUGAAGAAGGCCUUCGGGUUGCAAAGGACUUUUGUCAGGGAAGAAAAGGCUGUUGCUAAUAUCAGCGGCUGAUGACGGUACCUGAAGAAUAAGCACCGGCUAACUACGUGCCAGCAGCCGCGGUAAUACGUAGGGUGCGAGCGUUAAUCGGAAUUACUGGGCGUAAGGCGAGCACAGACGGUUACUUAAGCAGGAUGUGAAAUCCCCGGGCUCAACCUGGGAACUGCGUUCUGAACUGGGUGACUAGAGUGUGUCAGAGGGAGGUAGAAUUCCACGUGUAGCAGUGAAAUGCGUAGAGAUGUGGAGGAAUACCGAUGGCGAAGGCAGCCUCCUGGGAUAACACUGACGUUCAUGCUCGAAAGCGUGGGUAGCAAACAGGAUUAGAUACCCUGGUAGUCCACGCCCUAAACGAUGUCAAUUAGCUGUUGGGCAACUUGAUUGUUCAGUAGCGUAGCUAACGCGUGAAAUGACCGCUGGGGAGUACGG
rnacentral:rRNA from 1 species